ensembl:snoRNA SNORD105B small nucleolar RNA U105B
CGCUCUGCACCUGCUGACAGCGCUGCUGCUGAGCCCCUGUGAUUGCUUCGUUUCAAAGUACACGCUCCGACGGACCGCAG